GACGAACGCUGGCGGCGUGCUUAACACAUGCAAGUCGAACGCUGAAGCUCAGCUUUUGUUGGGUGGAUGAGUGGCGAACGGGUGAGUAACACGUGAGUAACCUGCCCCCUUCUUUGGGAUAACGCCCGGAAACGGGUGCUAAUACUGGAUAUUCACUGGUCUUCGCAUGGGGGUUGGUGGAAAGGGUUUUUCUGGUGGGGGAUGGGCUCGCGGCCUAUCAGCUUGUUGGUGGGGUGAUGGCCUACCAAGGCUUUGACGGGUAGCCGGCUUGAGAGGGUGACCGGUCACAUUGGGACUGAGAUACGGCCCAGACUCCUACGGGAGGCAGCAGUGGGGAAUAUUGCACAAUGGGCGCAAGCCUGAUGCAGCGACGCCGCGUGAGGGAUGGAGGCCUUCGGGUUGUGAACCUCUUUCGCUCAUGGUCAAGCCGCAACAAUGGUUGUGGUGAGGGUAGUGGGUAAAGAAGCGCCGGCUAACUACGUG
rnacentral:rRNA from 1 species